rnacentral:lncRNA from 1 species
AAAUGGUCUUCCUCCAUGAAUACUUUUGAAAUGCUAUAUUAUAUUGAAAUUUUUAUAGAAACAGAGCAGUUAUCUGUGUGAUAAAGCAGUUUCAAAUGUCCAGUGUCAUUGGCACGAAAAAAAAAACAACCAUCUGCAAAUGGUCUGAAAUCAGCUUGUAAGGAAGUUGGCCCAGAAUGGCUGGUCUUGCAGAUCAUAUCAUCCAUCACAGUGGAAGCAAAUGUGGUGAGAAUGCUGAAGAGGAGGUUUCUGGUGUCACACUGCUGUGCUGCACUCUUCUAAAUGUCUGCUUUGGAAACAAGAACAAUGUUGG